GACGAACGCUGGCGGCGUGCCUAAUACAUGCAAGUCGAGCGGACGGAUGGGAGCUUGCUCCCAGACCGUCAGCGGCGGACGGGUGAGUAACACGUGGGCAACCUGCCUGUAAGACUGGGAUAACUCCGGGAAACCGGGGCUAAUACCGGAUAACUCUUUCCCUCACAUGAGGGAAAGCUGAAAGAUGGCAUCUCGCUAUCACUUACAGAUGGGCCCGCGGCGCAUUAGCUAGUUGGUGAGGUAACGGCUCACCAAGGCGACGAUGCGUAGCCGACCUGAGAGGGUGAUCGGCCACACUGGGACUGAGACACGGCCCAGACUCCUACGGGAGGCAGCAGUAGGGAAUCUUCCGCAAUGGACGAAGGUCUGACGGAGCAACGCCGCGUGAGUGAUGAAGGUGUUCGGAUCGUAAAACUCUGUUGUCAGGGAAGAACAAGUACCGGAGUAACUGCCGGUACCUUGACGGUACCUGACCAGAAAGCCACGGCUAACUACGUG
rnacentral:rRNA from 1 species